rnacentral:rRNA from 1 species
UGAGUAACGCGUGAGAACCUGCCUCGAGGAUGGGGACAACAGCGGGAAACUGCUGCUAAUACCCAAUAAGCCGAAAGGUAAAAGAUUAAUCGCUUCGAGAGGGGCUCGCGUCCGAUUAGCUAGUUGGUGGGGUAAGAGCCUACCAAGGCGGCGAUCGGUAGCUGGUCUGAGAGGAUGAGCAGCCACACUGGGACUGAGACACGGCCCAGACUCCUACGGGAGGCAGCAGUGGGGAAUUUUCCGCAAUGGGCGAAAGCCUGACGGAGCAAUACCGCGUGAGGGAGGAAGGCCUUUGGGUUGUAAACCUCUUUUCUGGGGGAAGAAGUCCUGACGGUACCCCAGGAAUCAGCAUCGGCUAACUCCGUGCCAGCAGCCGCGGUAAUACGGAGGAUGCAAGCGUUAUCCGGAAUUAUUGGGCGUAAAGCGUCCGCAGGUGGUACAUCAAGUCGGCGGUCAAAAACCGGAGCUUAACUCCGGGCAGGCAGUGGAAACUGGUGAACUAGAGUACGGUAGGGGUAGAGGGAAUUCCCAGUGUAGCGGUGAAAUGCGUAGAGAUUGGGAAGAACACCAGUGGCGAAGGCGCUCUACUGGCCGUAACUGACACUGAG